UUAUUGUAAACCCUACAGCUCCUCCUCACCAAUCACAAUCGUCUCAACCCGGCCGCCCGUCUCUCUUCCCCAGUAUUAGAACUGCAAAAUCCCCUCUCUGUUACCAUGUCACAAUAAAACAGAAUCUCUCUCAAUUUCAAGUCUGGUCUCCUCUUCGGUCUUCAAAUCUCUAAACCGAACCUUACGUAAAGUCCCACGAAUAGGUCUAUGAUAUACACAAUAUCAUCUAUCUGGUGUGGUUCCAUUCCCAGAAUCACACUGUAUAGGUGGCAAAAGCAAUUAGUUAAAAGCAAUUUUAAUUUGAUCCUUGAUAGAAAUCGCUCACCAUCUUUUGUGGAAUUUAAUAUUUGAUACUGUGAAUUGUUCGUCUGUCAAACCGGAUGGAAUUGUUUCGAUUUUCUCUAAAUUAUUCAAUUAAUACUUGAACUAGUUGCUUUUGCCCCCUACACCAUGUGGCUUCUCGGUACCUUCCUAGGUGUAAAAUUUUCAAGCUACCUUAAUUAAUGAGUUUGGUAGAUUUGUUGAAGCUAUGGACUUGUUCGAUGAGAUUGUUGCAAAAGAAAAGCAGAAAAUCCUAUGGAAAGAGUGCUUGCAGUUCCUCUUUUCGUGCAUUCAAUAGUAAAAAUAUUGGAAAUGAGUAAUCAAAUUAUUACUAUGUUUAUUUUCAUAGGUGCUUUUCUUCUACAGCAUCAAAUACCUAUGAUGGAGUAGCAUUCUUUUGUUCAUCUGUAGCAUCACAGAUUAUUGAGCCAGGUAAUAUCAUUAUUACUUUUUUAGUAAAAAAUGAUUUAUUAUAAAUUCAAAGUUCUCUUUGUUAAUGGAAAAAAAUUAAGGAAAAAGGAUAAGCAACUCAUUUUUUUUCACAUGUAGCCUUGGGCUCUGGAUUAACUAAUCUUCAGGAAUUUAAUGAGGGGAAACAAUAUGCUUUUUCCCCAAAUCAACAUCAUAGUUGUGAAAAGCGCACCUAAGGCACAGGUCCUUGAGCCUCAGGAGCAGAAAGGCUGGCGACCUUACUGAGGCACAGGCCUCUUGAAAAAAGCCCUCUCCUAGGAGUUUAGGUGCAAGGCACCAAAAAAAAAAAAAAAAAAAAAAAAAA